rnacentral:rRNA from 1 species
UACGAAGGGUGCAGCGUUACUCGGAAUUACUGGGCGUAAAGCGUGCGUAGGUGGUGAGUUAAGUCUGUCGUGAAAGCCCCGGGCUCAACCUGGGAAUGGCGAUGGAUACUGGCUCGCUAGAGUGCGGUAGAGGAGAGUGGAAUUCCCGGUGUAGCAGUGAAAUGCGUAGAGAUCGGGAGGAACAUCAGUUGCGAAGGCGGCUCUCUGGACCAGCACUGACACUGAGGCACGAAAAGCGUGGGGGAGCA